rnacentral:lncRNA from 1 species
CCGGCCCCGACGCGCGGCGCUGCGUUCGGCCGUCCCGGGGCCGGACCGCCGCCUUCGUCCCAAACGCGGUCCCCGCGUCCGUUGCGAGAAGGGGCAGAGGGGAGAGCCCCGCACAGCUCCGCACCGUGUGGGCUCAGGGGAGCGUGCGGCGAGGCCUCCCUCCCCCCCCCGCUUCUCGUCCUCCCCCCCCCAUACCCCCGCGAGCCGCUCUCCCCAUCCAUCCCCGCUCCUACCUUUAACAGCAAGGCCUUCGUUCUGGCGCCAUCUUCAUGAAGCCUCAGAAAUCCGAAGAGUCGGCUGUCGAGGCCGGAUAGGGCUUCUCUCUCCUCGGCUGUCAAGCUGGCGAAGUCCUCCUCGCUCUGGCCGCUCGCUUUCCCCGCCGCCAUUUUCUUUUCCUCAUCACCGAAAGGAGCAGCAGAGGCGGCGGCGGCGGCGAGCGACACUCCGCACGAUUUCAUGGAAACGCAGCGUAAUUAACUGCCGAUCGCACCCCCCCCCCGCGCACCCCCGACACCCCCCAGCGCCGGGCGGGGCGGGGUGCCCGACACGCACACACCCCACAACUUUUAUUACAACAACAACAGCCGGCAGGGAGGGGGAGGGAGGGAGGGAGGGGAGAGGGAGGGAGGCGGGGGGAAGCCCCGCUGCUCGGAGGAGGAGGAGGAGGAGGGAGGGGGAGGGAGGGAGCCCCAGCGCUGGCGGCUCGGGGGAGGGGAGGAGGAGACUGCGGAGGAUGGCGGCCGAGCGGUGUUUACAUCGCCGCUCGCCCCGGCGGCCAGGGCUGCGCGCGGAGCCGGGGCGGCGCGGGCCCGGCCCGCCCUCCCGCAGCGGGGCUGUGCGCGCCGCCCGUACAAACUUCCCCGGCGGCUGCCUAAAGUUGUUGUAAUUGUGUCACACCGCCAGCCCCACGCCGCCGCCGUCACCCCCCCACCCCCCACCGCCUCCCCGCCCGCCUGGGCCCGCGCAGCCAAUCGGCGCCUCCGCGGCGCUGCACGUGACCUUUGUUGACUUACGUCAGUCAUAGCGCUCUUCCACCGCUGCGCUCCGGUUUGGUUGGCGCUCAGCGCCCGCCUCUCUCGGCGGCCUCACGCCAUUGGUCAGCGUCAGCGGGAGGAGGCGGGUUUUGUGCCC